rnacentral:misc_RNA from 1 species
UCCCCGUUGGCCGGGGCAGUCUCGCCUGAAAAAUACAACAGACGACAAGGGUUGCGCUCGUUGCGGGACUUAACCCAACAUCUCACGACACGAGCUGACGACGGCCAUGCAGCACCUGUCACUGGGUUCCCGAAGGCACGGCACUGUUUCCAGCGCCUUCCCAGGAUGUCAAACCUCGGUAAGGUUCUUCGCGUAUCUUCGAAUUAAACCACAUGCUCCACUGCUUGUGCGGAACCCCGUCAAUUCCUUUGAGUUUUAGUCUUGCGACCGUACUCCCCAGGCGGGAUGCUUAACGCGUUAGCUUCCCCGCGCAAAGGGUCGAUACUUCACACGGGUAGCAUCCAUCGUUUACGGCGUGGACUAC